CCAUUCCAUUCCUCACAGGAGUGAAGAAAGGCUGAAAUUGCUGGGGCUGUCAGCAUCAAGAAAAGAAGGUUCAGAUCUUAGUAGUAUGUAUAAUAUCUGAAGGGAGGGUGCAAAGAGGAUGGAGCCAGGCUCUCUUCAGUGGUGCCCAGUGUCAGGACAGGAGGAACAGGAGGUUCGCACAGAACAUCAGAAGGCAAUUCUGUGCUGUGAAGGUGAUGGAGCACUGCCACAGGUUGCUCAGAGAGGUGAUGGAGUCUCCUUGGAGAACUUCAAAAGCAGCCUGGAUACGGGCUUGGGCACCCUGCUUUAGCUGUUCCUGCUGGAGCAGGAUUGGGCCAGAUGGACCCAGAUGUCCCCACUGAACUCAGCCAUUCUGUGUGUCCAAUUCUGUAGUUUUCCUGCUUAAGCACAGCAUAAAUUAUACAGCAUUGGCCAAGUGUCCUUACUAAUUUCACUCUGCAAGCAAUCAUAAAACAUUUAGGUCUAAUAUGAAAUAUUCAAGUUCUUCUCUGAUUGUUUUUGAAUCCUUUAUGUAUAAUUCAGAGAAUUCACUACCACAGCAAUUAUUAACCAUGGAUAUAUUGGAUUACAAGAAAGCUGAAGAAGAGAGAGAAGGAUAUUGAAAACUGAAGGAGUUACCAAAACUAAAACAAAAACUUGUGAAUGAAGAAGUUUCCUUGGGUACUGAAAGCAAGAAUUAGUCCCUGGCUUUAAGGCCAGGAAGGACCUUGCUGCUGGAAACCUUGAUCUAUAUCAAAGAGAGGCCAGCCUUGGCCUUGAUGACAUAGGCUCUGGAACCUGUGCCACAAAGAAGGCACCUGUUGGCAAGACCGCAGGGCACAGACGAUGACUCUAGGCCACUUCCCUCUAUGCCCGCAUCCGGAAGGUUCUAUUUUCUACCUGAUUCCUCCUGCUGCUGAUCAGAACUGAAUAAGUUGGCUUCUUAACACAAGCUGUGUAACAAGUGCAAGGUCUGGGGAAUACAUUUCCUUAUCAGGUGACCACUGUUACAUACUUUACAAUUUAUAUCAUAAUAUUCCUUUGUCCCAGACUGAAGACUCUUGAAUGAAGAAUAUAAUUAGCAUCAGACAAUG
ensembl:lncRNA